rnacentral:rRNA from 1 species
UACGUAGGGUGCGAGCGUUAAUCGGAAUUACUGGGCGUAAAGCGUGCGCAGGCGGUUUUGUAAGCCAGAUGUGAAAUCCCCGGGCUUAACCUGGGAAUGGCAUUUGGGACUGCAAGGCUCGAGUGCGGCAGAGGAGACUGGAAUUCCUGGUGUAGCAGUGAAAUGCGUAGAUAUCAGGAGGAACACCGAUGGCGAAGGCAGGUCUCUGGGCUGACACUGACGCUCAUGCACGAAAGCGUGGGGAGCGAA